GGUUGGAGGGUGAUCUGACCACAUCUGCCACCCUGUUGGUCGCCAGGCUUGGGUCCCCUGAACUGGCUGGUUAGCAGAUCCCCUCCCUCCCCCACUGCUCCAGGUGCUUCCUCCUGAGGCUGAGCACUCAGUCGAAGAAGACAAUCUUCCCCCAAAGAGGGGGAAAGGUAUAUGCUAGA
rnacentral:snRNA from 1 species